UUUUUUUUUUUUUUUUUUUUUUUUUUUUUUUUUUUUUUUUUUUUUUUUUUUUUUUUUUUUUUUUUUUUUUUUUUUUUUUUUUUUUUUUUUUUUUUUUUUUUUUUUUUUUUUUUUUUUUUUUUUUUUUUUUUUUUUUUUUUUUUUUUUUUUUUUUUUUUUUUUUUUUUUUUUUUUUUUUUUUUUUUUUUUUUUUUUUUUUUUUUUUUUUUUUUUUUUUUUUUUUUUUUUUUUUUUCAUGGACUGGCGGACCCUUUGGCUCAAGCAGUUGAACCGGGGAAUUCUGGGAAGUGGAGUCCAGACGCCCUGUGGAGACGCUAGCACUUCCGGUGUGUGAGCCUGCGGUUGCUACAUAACCGCGUAGUUUGAGCCAUUUCUGCGUCUGGCGGGUCCUUCUGAACUUAUCACCUUCGCUUGGGGUCGCAACGACCCGAUGAUCGAUGAUCCAAGCAAGGGAAAAGAAGCCUUGGCGGAGA
rnacentral:lncRNA from 1 species